UUCAGCAAGAGUGAUGGCGACUUUCUUACAGCUGUAAGACUUUGUGUUGUGGUAUUACGAGACUCGGAACUCGCUCUACAGGGCUGGAAGAGGACUAUUUGUAGUUGUCAAGAUAUCUUCUUGUGUAUUGAAAGAACCAACAUUACUUGUUCUUAAUGAUGGAAACUAAGAAAAAGUAAUGUAGUAAAGAAAUGAAAAAGUAAGCCAUCCUUGGACAGUCUUCCUAAGUAUUGUCUUGAAGGAAAAUGGAACACCCCUUUGUGUCAGCAACCUCAGAAUGCAUUGAGGAUUACAAGGUACUGGCAAAUCACAUCGGGUUUGCAUCUUUUUCAGGUAGAGGAUUAAGUUUGAUCAAUGGGUUCUGUGAAUCUUGAAGAAAUUUAUAUAUAUUUUUCUGUUAGUUUGAAUAUACUUAAACUUUUUUAGAUUACUUAGAAGAGUACACAGGCUCAUCUGUUAUUUUAUCUUACUUGCUGAACAUAAUGUCCAAUUGUUGAAAAAGUAUAUACAUGUGCACUGCAACACAGCAAAAGGCUGUUUGACAAUUUCUCAUUCUUUUUUGGCUUUCUAUCGAUGAAAGAUUACCAUAAUCUAGGCCCCUUUUUCUUGUACAUUUUUUGAUCCAACUUGAUACCGAAUGUUACCUUCACUACGAAUGUUUUGCAAUGAUAUGGCCGUACAUCGAGUGCUAAUUGGCGAACCGUUCCCGUGUGAACAGCAGAUCUUGGCUUACGAACCGGUUUUAACCUAACGACGUGAAGAAUCAUUGGUGUACGUUCUCCCAAUGACUUUGUCACUCCUAAGAUCCAGUUAGUAAUUCUACCUACUGACCGUCUUACAUUCCCUUUUAAUAAACACAGGAGACUUCAGGCUUUAAACAAGAGAACAACCUCUUACUGAUAAGCUUGUCUAUUCCCAUAACUUGUUUGCAAGAUAACAUAUUUGCAUCGCAAGGAGAAAUUACAUGAUAAUUAAUUCUAGCAAUUUAAGGGUUAUGGUGCAGAAAAUUCUUAUUUAUUGUAGAAACUGUGGUGUUUUACAAGGAUUUCCAGCUCUAAGGAAAGCCCGUAACUUCGCACAUUUAAAGUUACGAUAAUUUUCAGUGUGUUUUUGAUUUUACUAAUCGGCUGCUUACACGUCCCUCGUGCUUUGCGCCACCUAGGCAUAUGUUGUUUAUAUAAUGGACAAAAUAAUACAUGUUUGCUUGUAGAUAUGGAAUUUCUCCUCGAGUGUUGAACUGACGGUAUCUCUGUCGUUCGCUGCUCUCACUCAUAAGAUAUUGAGCUGAACAUUCAAGGAGAAGUUCCUUAUUUUCGCGCGCCCAUGUAUCAUAUUCUCUGUUGAAUAGGAGGAAGGUUAAUUCUCAGCAUACUAUUUUACGUUUGAUUGAUUUUCUCGUAGUAAAAAUAAAAUUUCAUAUUCCCUAUUCGCACAUUUUACCGCCUAUACGUCCCGUGUGGCUUACUACGCCCACGGAAAGGGUAAGGAACGUAAAUUAGUAAUGAUCAUGGUAAUGGUAAUAAUAAUGAUAAUAAUGAUAAUAAUGAUAAAAAUAAUUAAAAAACUCGGAAAGAGUGGGAUGAUAAUGGGAGCAUACUUUGACUGUCACAGUUUUAAGUACGUCCAUUUAUGCAGUGAAUGUGUUUGUUUCUUGAUCAGAUCAUGGAUAAUCGCGUUCCCCUUUUUUAG
rnacentral:lncRNA from 1 species